rnacentral:rRNA from 1 species
AGCGUAGACGGUUUUGCAAGUCUGAAGUGAAAGCCCGGGGCUUAACCCCGGGACUGCUUUGGAAACUGUAGGACUAGAGUGCAGGAGAGGUAAGUGGAAUUCCUAGUGUAGCGGUGAAAUGCGUAGAUAUUAGGAGGAACACCAGUGGCGAAGGCGGCUUACUGGACUGUAACUGACGUUGAGGCUCGAAAGCGUGAGGAGCAAACA